UACACUUCUUGGCCUUUUGGCUAAGAUCAAGGGUAGUAUCUGUUCUUAUCAGUUUAAUCCUUCUUAGUGUACCAGGUCACCGUGGUGUGCGUACAUCAUGGGUAAUGUGAUAUAUUGGACACAUAUAUAUAGGUUGCUUAUCUGUAAACAUAGUUUCCCAAGUGGUCGCCUGUGAAUUCACA